rnacentral:lncRNA from 1 species
GUUAACUAGAUACCAUUGAGAUGGGAGCCAUCUCUGUGGGCCCCGCUGUCAAUAACGUGGGGUAAAUAAGUUGUAUGGAUAAUCUGAUAUGAAGCAUUAUUUGAAGUUAUUACAUAGUCUCAUGUGUGAUUUUAUUCUAAGAUUUUAAGUUAAAACUGAUAAAUAUUCUCAACUUACUUUCAUAGUAUAAUAGUGAUAUGACUGCAUGAUGUGAACUCAUUGUUGACUACUCUAAGGUGACUUCUGGAUAUAUGGAUUGAUGUUUGAACAAUAUGUUUAAAGGUGCUGCCCAAUUGAUAUUUGUCACAUAUUUUUAGAAUUAUGCCUUCAAUAUAUUAUGACCCACCAAAAAAGAAUGCCAAUUAAAUGUUAAAAAAUGAAAAAUUGCUGAGGGCUUCAACUUUUUGAAAAAUAUGGAUUUUACUUUAAGAAAAAUAUAACACAAAGAAGCAAAUUAUUUCUAUCAGGAAAAUUGUGGAAUAAAAUUUGUA